AUCGGUGACAGGUGGUGCAUGGUUGUCGUCAGCUCGUGUCGUGAGAUGUUGGGUUAAGUCCCGCAACGAGCCGCAACCCCUAUUGUUAGUUGCCAUCAUUCAGUUGGGCACUCUAGCGAGACUGCCGGUAAUAACCGGAGGAAGUGGGAUGACGUCAAAUCAUCAUGCCCUUAUGACCUGGGCUACACACGUGCUACAGUGGUUGGUACAACGAGUUGCGAGUCGGUGACGGCGAGCUAAUCUCUUAAAGCCAAUCUCAGUUCGGAUUGUAGGCUGCAACUCGCCUACAUGAAGUCGGAAUCGCUAGUAAUCGCGGAUCAGCACGCCCGCGGUUCCGAAUACGUUCCGGCCUU
rnacentral:rRNA from 1 species